rnacentral:rRNA from 1 species
CUACGGGUGGCAGCAGUGGGGAAUCUUGCACAAUGGGCGAAAGCCUGAUGCAGCAACGCCGCGUGAGCGAUGAAGGCCUUUGGGUCGUAAAGCUCUGUCCUUGGGGAAGAAACAAAUGACGGUACCCAAGGAGGAAGCCCCGGCUAACUACGUGCCAGCAGCCGCGGUAAUACGUAGGGGGCAAGCGUUAUCCGGAAUUAUUGGGCGUAAAGAGUACGUAGGUGGUCUUUUAAGCGCAGGGUUUAAGGCAAUGGCUUAACCAUUGUUCGCCCUGUGAACUGGAAGACUUGAGUGUAGGAGAGGAAAGUGGAAUUCCUAGUGUAGCGGUGAAAUGCGUAGAUAUUAGGAGGAACAUCAGUGGCGAAGGCGACUUUCUGGACUAUUACUGACACUGAGGUACGAAAGCGUGGGGAGCAAACAGGAUUAGAUACCCCAGUAGUC